CAGGCUUAACACAUGCAAGUCGAGGGGCAGCAUGGUCUUAGCUUGCUAAGGCCGAUGGCGACCGGCGCACGGGUGAGUAACGCGUAUCCAACCUGCCUUACACUCUUGGACAGCCUUCUGAAAGGGAGAUUAAUACAAGAUGUUAUCAUGAGUAAGCAUUUUCGCAUGAUUAAAGGUUUACCGGUGUAAGAUGGGGAUGCGUUCCAUUAGAUAGUAGGCGGGGUAACGGCCCACCUAGUCUUCGAUGGAUAGGGGUUCUGAGAGGAAGGUCCCCCACAUUGGAACUGAGACACGGUCCAAACUCCUACGGGAGGCAGCAGUGAGGAAUAUUGGUCAAUGGACGAGAGUCUGAACCAGCCAAGUAGCGUGAAGGAUGAAGGUUCUAUGGAUUGUAAACUUCUUUUAUACGGGAAUAAACGAAUCCACGUGUGGAUUUUUGCAUGUACCGUAUGAAUAAGGAUCGGCUAACUCCGUGCCAGCAGCCGCGGUAAUACGGAGGAUCCGAGCGUUAUCCGGAUUUAUUGGGUUUAAAGGGAGCGUAGAUGGGUUGUUAAGUUAGUUGUGAAAGUUUGCGGCUCAACCGUAAAAUUGCAAUUGAUACUGGCAGUCUUGAGUACAGUUGAGGUAGGCGGAAUUCGUGGUGUAGCGGUGAAAUGCUUAGAUAUCACGAAGAACUCCGAUUGCGAAGGCAGCUUACUAACCUGUAACUGACAUUGAUGCUCGAAAGUGUGGGUAUCAAACAGGAUUAGAUACCCUGGUAGUCCACACGGUAAACGAUGAAUACUCGCUGUAGGCGAUAUACAGUCUGCGGCCAAGCGAAAGCAUUAAGUAUUCCACCUGGGGAGUACGCCGGCAACGGUGAAACUCAAAGGAAUUGACGGGGGCCCGCACAAGCGGAGGGACAUGUGGUUUAAUUCGAUGAUACGCGAGGAACCUUACCCGGGCUUAAAUUGCAACCGAAUAUGGCGGAAACGCUAUAGCUAGCAAUAGCGGUUGUGAAAGUGCUGCAUGGUUGUCGUCAGCUCGUGCCGUGAGGUGUCGGCUUAAGUGCCAUAACGAGCGCAACCCUUGCCGAUAGUUACUAACAGGUCAUGCUGAGGACUCUGUCGGGACUGCCAUCGUAAGAUGUGAGGAAGGUGGGGAUGACGUCAAAUCAGCACGGCCCUUACGUCCGGGGCUACACACGUGUUACAAUGGGGGGUACAGAGGGCUGCUACCACGCAAGUGGAUGCCAAUCCCAAAAACCUCUCUCAGUUCGGAUUGAAGUCUGCAACCCGACUUCAUGAAGCUGGAUUCGCUAGUAAUCGCGCAUCAGCCACGGCGCGGUGAAUACGUUCCCGGGCCUUGUACACACCGCCCGUCAAGCCAUGGGAGCCGGGGGUACCUGAAGUGCGUAACCGCAAGGAGCGCCCUAGGGUAAAACUGG
rnacentral:rRNA from 1 species